rnacentral:rRNA from 1 species
GAUGAACGCUGGCGGCGUGCCUAAUACAUGCAAGUCGAGCGAACAGACGAGGAGCUUGCUCCUCUGACGUUAGCGGCGGACGGGUGAGUAACACGUGGAUAACCUACCUAUAAGACUGGGAUAACUUCGGGAAACCGGAGCUAAUACCGGAUAAUAUAUUGAACCGCAUGGUUCAAUAGUGAAAGACGGUUUUGCUGUCACUUAUAGAUGGAUCCGCGCCGCAUUAGCUAGUUGGUAAGGUAACGGCUUACCAAGGCAACGAUGCGUAGCCGACCUGAGAGGGGGAACGGCCACACUGGAACCGGGACACGGGCCCGACUCCUACGGGAGGGCGGAAUAGGGAAUCUUCCGGCAUGGGCGGAAGCCUGACGGAGCCACGCCGGGUGAGUGAUGAAGGUCUUCGGAUCCUAAAACUCUUUUAUUAGGGAAGAACAAAUGUGUAAAUAACUAUUCACGUCUUGACGGUACCUUAUCAAAAAGGCACGGCUAACUACGUG